CUUUUGGCUAGAGUUGCUGUGAGGAUGGAAUGGGGAACCUGGACAGCUCCAGCAAUCUUACUGCAGAAGGUGCUUCUGGGUGGAUCCCAGGCAGAGGAAUCAGAGGCAAAACAUGGAGGGAGUGAACUCCUGAAAUCACUUGGGUUCUGAAUCCAGCCAAGCCCGAAACCAGCCCUGCCCUGGGCUUUUCAGCUCAACCUACUGCCUGCCCAGGGCCAUCAAUAAUAAAUGUCCACAGACAGCUGAAGGACAUUAAAGACAGAUGGUGAUGGAUCAGAGCACUCAUCAGCCACUGGGUGUAGACUGUAUAAAAAGCUGAGCCCAGAGGCCACCAUGAUCAACCUGCAACCUGGCAAGAAAUGGACUCAACUCCACAGACAGCAGUUGUCAGGGAGCCCAGACAUGUAAGGAUGCGGCAAAGGCCCUCGCCAGAUGCUGAAUGCGGAUGCCGUCAUCUUGGACUUCCUAGCUUCCAGAACGAGACAGAGCACUACGGAAGGGAGCCCCAUUCCCAAGCAUGGUGUCCAAUACACUGAAAGAAUAACUGGGCUCAGUAAUGCACCUAGAGACUCAGAUUCCAGACCUGCCCACUUGCUUUACUAUCCAAAACAACCAUGACACAUGACUUCUCUGGCGGGGUGUUGGCCAAGACAAACUGAACUAUAGAAGAUCCUUGACUUGCCAACGUUCAAAUGAUGAACUUUCAAAAAUAGCGAAACUGGCUGCAGAGCAAAAGCUUUUCAGCUCUGCACAACACCAACAGAUGGCGCUAAGUGUCACCCUUGUGGAGAGCAGAGGGACCUCGGAAGGGCCUUUGGAAAUCUAAUCUGGUUUUGAGUUCUUGGUGGGAAAAUGCACCUUUAAGUUGGGGGAGUUUGAAGACGUUGCCAAGACACGUGCUGCAGCAUUUGAUCUUUUCUGCCGCACUGGCUUCUGCAAUUAACAUGCUUUCACCAGUGAAACUCAGGUUGCGGGGAGAGCAUUCUUCCAGGUUCAUGCCUGUUGUCAUGGAGUAAUUAUAAUUCAUGUCUCCGUUCACAGUGUCCUGGUUUGUAGAAUAAAAUAUCUGGUCCACCCA
ensembl:lncRNA LINC02930 long intergenic non-protein coding RNA 2930